rnacentral:rRNA from 1 species
AGUGAACGCUGGCGGUAGGCCUAACACACGCAAGUCGAACGGCAGCACAGUAAGAGCUUGCUCUUACGGGUGGCGAGUGGCGGACGGGUGAGGCAUACAUCGGAAUCUACUUUUUCGUGGGGGAUAACGUAGGGAAACUUACGCUAAUACCGCAUACGACCUACGGGUGAAAGCAGGGGAUCUUCGGACCUUGCGCGAUUGAAUGAGCCGAUGUCGGAUUAGCUAGUUGGCGGGGUAAAGGCCCACCAAGGCGACGAUCCGUAGCUGGUCUGAGAGGAUGAUCAGCCACACUGGAACUGAGACACGGUCCAGACUCCUACGGGAGGCAGCAGUGGGGAAUAUUGGACAAUGGGCGCAAGCCUGAUCCAGCCAUACCGCGUGGGUGAAGAAGGCCUUCGGGUUGUAAAGCCCUUUUGUUGGGAAAGAAAAGCAGCAGGUUAAUACCCCGCUGUUCUGACGGUACCCAAAGAAUAAGCACCGGCUAACUUCGUG